GACGACGCUGGCGGCGUGCCUAACACAUGCAAGUCGAGCGAUGAAGUUCUUCGGAACGGAUUAGCGGCGGACGGGUGAGUAACGCGUGAGCAAUCUGCCUUACACAAGGGGAUAGCCUCGGGAAACUGGGAUUAAUACCAUAUGACACUUGGUAAUCGCAUGAGGACCAAGUCAAAGAUUUUAUCGGUGUAAGAUGAGCUCGCGUCUGAUUAGCUAGUUGGUGGGGUAAAGGCCUACCAAGGCGACGAUCAGUAGCCGGCCUGAGAGGGUGAACGGCCACACUGGAACUGAGACACGGUCCAGACUCCUACGGGAGGCAGCAGUGGGGAAUAUUGCACAAUGGGCGCAAGCCUGAUGCAGCGACGCCGCGUGAGCGAAGAAGGUUUUCGGAUCGUAAAGCUCUGUCCUCUGGGAAGAAAAAAAUGACGGUACCAGAGGAGGAAGCCCCGGCUAACUACGUG
rnacentral:rRNA from 1 species